rnacentral:rRNA from 1 species
CCUACGGGAGGCUGCAGUGAGGAAUAUUGGUCAAUGGGCGAGAGCCUGAACCAGCCAAGUCGCGUGAAGGAUGAAGGAUCUAUGGUUUGUAAACUUCUUUUAUAUGGGGAUAAAGUGAGGAACGUGUUCCUGUUUGUAUGUACCAUAUGAAUAAGCAUCGGCUAACUCCGUGCCAGCAGCCGCGGUAAUACGGAGGAUGCAAGCGUUAUCCGGAUUUAUUGGGUUUAAAGGGUGCGUAGGUGGUCGAUUAAGUCAGCGGUGAAAGUUCGUGGCUCAACCAUAGAAUUGCCGCUGAUACUGGUUGGCUUGAGUGUAGUUGCGGUAGGCGGAAUGCGUGGUGUAGCGGUGAAAUGCAUAGAUAUCACGCAGAACUCCGAUUGCGAAGGCAGCUUACUAAGCUAUAACUGACGUUGAGGCACGAAAGCGUGGGGAGCAAACAGGAUUAGAUACCCUUGUAGUC